CUUAGACAACCAUAAAACACUAAAUAGUCUGCUGUUUUUUUUAUUUUUUUUAAUUUGUAUUUUAUUCGAGUUUUAAGGCUCAAAAUGCAUCGUAGUAUGUAAAAGAAAAAAAAUAACACAGUAUAGUGACAUAAAAGAAAGUAACACAAUAAAUUUACAUCUGGUGGCAUUUGAGUCGCCAGGCAUCUGUGUGUGACCUGUG